CGCGUAUGCAACCUACCUUUUACAGAGGGAUAGCCCAGAGAAAUUUUGGGAUUAACACCUCAUAGUAUUAUUGAUUGGCAUCGACUAAUAAUUAAAACUACGGUGGUAAAAGAUGGGCAUGCGUUCUAUUAGCUAGUUGGUAUGGUAACGGCAUACCAAGGCGACGAUAGAUAGGGGGCCCUGAGAGGGGGAUCCCCCACACUGGUACUGAGACACGGACCAGACUCCUACGGGAGGCAGCAGUGAGGAAUAUUGGUCAAUGGAGGGAACUCUGAACCAGCCAUGCCGCGUGCAGGAUGA
rnacentral:rRNA from 1 species